UAGGGAAUCUUCGGCAAUGGACGGAAGUCUGACCGAGCAACGCCGCGUGAGUGAAGAAGGUUUUCGGAUCGUAAAGCUCUGUUGUAAGAGAAGAACGAGUGUGAGAGUGGAAAGUUCACACUGUGACGGUAUCUUACCAGAAAGGGACGGCUAACUACGUGCCAGCAGCCGCGGUAAUACGUAGGUCCCGAGCGUUAUCCGGAUUUAUUGGGCGUAAAGCGAGCGCAGGCGGUUAGAUAAGUCUGAAGUUAAAGGCUGUGGCUUAACCAUAGUACGCUUUGGAAACUGUUUAACUUGAGUGCAAGAGGGGAGAGUGGAAUUCCAUGUGUAGCGGUGAAAUGCGUAGAUAUAUGGAGGAACACCGGUGGCGAAAGCGGCUCUCUGGCUUGUAACUGACGCUGAGGCUCGAAAGCGUGGGGAGCAAACAGGAUUAGAUACCCUGGUAGUCCACGCCGUAACGAUGAGUGCUAGGUGUUAGACCCUUUCCGGGGUUUAGUGCCGUAGCUAACGCAUUAAGCACUCCGCCUGGGGAGUACGACCGCAAGGUUG
rnacentral:rRNA from 1 species